GCUCAGUAACACGKGGAUAACCUGCCCUAARGGAAGGGGAUACCCUCGGGAAACUGAGGGAUAAUACCCUAUAGGUUACCGAUGCUGGAAUGCUCGGUAACUCAAAGUUCCGGCGCCUUAGGAUGGAUCUGCGGCCGAUUAGGUAGUUGUUGGGGUAACGGCCCAACAAGCCCGUAAUCGGUACGRRUWGUGGGAGCAAGAGCCCGGAGUUGGAUUCUGAGACACGAAUCCAGGCCCUACGGGGCGCAGCAGGCGCGAAAACUUUACAAUGCGGGCAACCGUGAUAAGGRAACMUCGAGUGCCUGUACAUGCAGGCUGUCUGGGUGUCUAAAACACACCCAAAGAAAGGGCCGGGCAAGACCGGUGCCAGCCGCCGCGGUAAUACCGGCGGCUCGAGUGGUGGCCACUUUUAUUGGGCUUAAAGCGUUCGUAGCUGGGUUGUUAAGUCUCUUGGGAAAUCCGGCGGCUUAACCGUCGGGCGUCUAAGAGAUACUGGCAAUCUUGGAACCGGGAGAGGUGAGGGGUACUUCGGGGGUAGGAGUGAAAUCCUGUAAUCCUCRAGGGACCACCUGUGGCGAAGGCGCCUCACCAGAACGGCUUGGACAGUGAGGGACGAAARCUGGGGGAGCAA
rnacentral:rRNA from 1 species